UACGUACGAGGCGAGCGUUAUCCGGAAUUACUGGGCGUAAAGCGCGCGCAGGUGGUUUGUUAAGUGAGACGUGAAAUCUCCCGGCCUAACUGGGAGGGGUCGUUUCAAACUGGGAGACUUGAGGACUGCAGAGGUGGGUGGAAUUCCUGGUGUAGUGGUGAAAUGCGUAGAGAUCAGGAGGAACACCGGUGGCGAAGGCGGCCCACUGGGCAGUCACUGACGCUGAGGCGCGAAAGCUCGGGGAGCGAACGGG
rnacentral:rRNA from 1 species